UGGUAGCCUGAUUAAAUUCUUGCCAAUACAAAACCAAUUAAAAACGAAACUAAUUUUAGGUGUGCGACAACUUUUCCAAUUAGACGGAUAUCACAAUAGGAGUUCAGUGGCGUCGAAGUUUACCAUAGAUAUUAUAAUAAUUUACCCGGGGUGUUUUGGUCCCAUUCCAGCGAAACUUAGUCAAGCCGCAGACGCACACCGUGCAACAUGACGGGGCACAAAUUAAAGGAUGCCACGGCAAAUGUCCCGACUAGACGCACAUACAGCGCACAACAGACACAUGUGGCAGCUUCGUCAAGUUGCACAGUAAGCCACAGCUGACCUCUUUCGAAAUCACGUGUUGAGUUUCAAAAACUGGCUUUGAAUGGUCGGAAAUUACUCAAAGAGCAUAGUAAAUACAUAACAAAUACCAAACCAAAUUCAAAGCCUUCUCUCGUGGAAAUCAAGUGCUAUUAGCUACUUAAUCAUACUCGAAUAUUGCUCAUACGCACCGUGUAAAAUGAGGCAAGGCAGCAAGGUACUCAGCACGCCGUGUUACGCCCACCUUACCCCUAUUUUAAAGUGCCUUCUGUGGCGUGGAGGCCGACUUAAAGCGGACACAGCCAAAUUUUCAAAUUAAUGUAAAGCGUGUCGGGCCUGGCCUAAAUACACUACCCUUCCCCAAGCCGACGACGACUCGGUUGAUGCCACAAAUCGAUAGCUUAACAUUUGGCUGGGCCCUUUGGCCGGGGUAAACACCUUCUUGGGUACCCAUUUUGCGGCACAGAAUUAUGGCCGGAAAUUGCCUUAAAGUGUCAAUCAGUGUAAACGUUCUUAAUAGGUAUUUAUUUUUGCCAUUUUAAUUACCCCGCCCCCCCGGCGAAGUCACUCCCACCCACACCUUUGUCGGCGGACAACGAACUGAUGAAAAUGCCUGAUGAUGCCUUAAUUACGUUCCCGAGAAAAAGAACUCAUUUCCGAGUGAAUUUUUCAUUCAGCAUUUUCGGGCUGUUAUUGCAGAUUAUUUACAAUCGAUGGCAAGGUGAUCUGUUGACAAGAAACACGUGACUUACUAUAUUAGGCUUUUAACUACGGAUUAUGCUUUUUAAAUAUUUAACACUUUAAAACCUAGUUACUGAUAUUCUAUUUAUAUAAAAGUUUUCAAAAUAAGAAUUAAAGAAA